CUGAAAGCAGCACCAAGUGUCAGAUACAGAGAGCAGCUUGGAAGAAGUGCCUGGCAAGAGAGGAAGAAACUUCAAAAGCUUUAAUUUCAAGACAAUAAAGGUCUCACGUUGAUAUGUGUACAAGCUUUGACUGCAACUGGAAAAAAGUUAUAGCAUGAUGCAUCACAAGCAGGUCUAGGGAAGUGAUAAUUCCCCUCUGUGCAGCAUUGGUGAGACCGCAGAUGGAGUACCACGUCCAAUUUUGGGUGCCUCACUUCAAGAUGGAUGUGG